CGCCCGCUCGUUCAUGGUCGCCCGCACGGGAGGAAGCCGGUGCAAGUCCGGCGCGGUCCCGCCACUGUGAUCCGUCGUCCGACAGCGCUUGUCGCCAGACGGUAGCCAGAGACUCCCGGUCGACCAUCGGCCCCG
rnacentral:ncRNA from 1 species